rnacentral:rRNA from 1 species
AGUGAACGCUGGCGGUAGGCCUAACACAUGCAAGUCGAACGGCAGCACAGUAAGAGCUUGCUCUUACGGGUGGCGAGUGGCGGACGGGUGAGGAAUACAUCGGAAUCUACUUUUUCGUGGGGGAUAACGUAGGGAAACUUACGCUAAUACCGCAUAUGACCUACGGGUGAAAGCAGGGGAUCUUCGGACCUUGCGCGAUUGAAUGAGCCGAUGUCGGAUUAGCUAGUUGGCGGGGUAAAGGCCCACCAAGGCGACGAUCCGUAGCUGGUCUGAGAGGAUGAUCAGCCACACUGGAACUGAGACACGGUCCAGACUCCUACGGGAGGCAGCAGUGGGGAAUAUUGGACAGUGGGCGCAAGCCUGAUCCAGCCAUACCGCGUGGGUGAAGAAGGCCUUCGGGUUGUAAAGCCCUUUUGUUGGGAAAGAAAAGCAGCAGGUUAAUACCCCGCUGUUCUGACGGUACCCAAAGAAUAAGCACCGGCUAACUUCGU